GUGGGGUCUUUGUUGUUUCGUUUUGUAAUAAAUCUUGCUGCUGCUCAGUCUUUGAGUCCCCGCUGCGUUUAACACUCACCGCAAAGGUGUGCAGCUUCACUCCUGAAGCUAACGAGACCACGAAUCCACCUGGAAGGACAAACAACUCCGGACGCAGCUGCCUUUAAUAGCUGUAACACUCACCGUGAAGGUCUGCAGCUUCACUCCUGAAAUCAGUGAGAUCGCGAACCCGCCAAAAGGAAGAAACUCCAGACACACCAUCUUUAAGAACCGUAACGCUCACCGCGAGGGUCCCUGGCUUCAUUCCUGAAGUUAGCGAGACAACCUACCUAUUCCAGACACAAAACCACCCGAAAACGUGAGUUUCUAAAGGAUGAGCUAGAAAUGGAAUAUAAGACCAUGGAAAUGGUGCUAAUGCUGAUGGCUCCACACGUCCAGAGCCGAUGUUUCAGGGCGGCUCAGGCGAGACUUUCUCUUCUAUUCCGUUGGUCUAUCUAAAAAGCAAAAUUUCAAAUACUGACACCGAUAGAUGAAAACGCUUUCGCUUCUUCCCCGUUUCAUCCAGUUGGGGGCUAAGUGUCCUUCGGUUUGGACUGUGCAGCUCGGGUCACCUUCUCUCUGUGGAACAGCAAGUGAAGAAAGAGGCAGAGCCAUGUGUUCCAAACCAUGGAGACAGUUGAGAAAGUGGGAACCCAUUACUCCCCAAGCCCGGCCAGCAAACCUCACCGAUGUAACAGAUAAGCACUUCCGGCAGGUGGGGCUGACGCUGGCCAGGACACAGCCCUCUCUCUCACAGCAGUGUUCAGGUUGUUUGUGCACAAAAUUUCACAAAGGUCAGAGCUCGUCUCUCCAAAGAGAUAAGCUUUGCGGUUAACCUGAAUUCACUGAACUGGGAUUUAUUAUUAUUAUUAUUCUAUUUUACCUCUAACAGAAGUUUGAGAUCUGUGUAAGUUUCGUUCCUCUCUCUGAUUCGAGGGGAGAUGCCCAGCGCGCCGUUUGGGGGAGAGAACCUGGCGUCCUUUCCUUCAUUUCAGGUACCCAGCUCCUAGCAAAUGGGUCUUCCUCCCGGGUUCUCUGGGGUAAAGGAUUUGCUGAGAAGGAGCUGAAUGUUGCGGCUGCGCUUCUCAGACAUGUGCUCAGAGCCAGGUAUCCUCUCGCUCUUUCUUUCAACUGGUAGCCAGAAAAUACGGGCUGAGCAUCAGGGAUUCUCAGCCUCGUCAAGCUCCAGCCCUGCCUGUUGUGACAGACAUUUCCUGAUGCCUUUUGCUCUCUGGAAUGAAGGUCAUGGGCAGUAUUACCCACACAGCCAUUCAAAAUCAAUCGGCUUCGUGACCUGUUGUGAAAGGAUGGUGAUGGCCGUGCCAGCAUGUGACAUGCACUCGGAUGCCUGUGCACACAGGUGCACCUUCCAGAAGGUGAGGUUGGCCCGAGUGCCCACCGCCAUGUGAGUGUGCUGCUGCACAAUGACCAGUUGCUGGAAUGUUCUGAACAGAGCCCAGUGCCACCCACUUUGAUGUGCGCCAUUGUCAGAAAAAUCAGAGUGCGUUAAAUUCCUGCAAAAAUUC